UACGUAGGGUGCAAGCGUUGUCCGGAAUUAUUGGGCGUAAAGAGCUCGUAGGCGGUUCGUCGCGUCGGCUGUGAAAACCUGAGGCUCAACCUCAGGCCUGCAGUCGAUACGGGCGGACUUGAGUACUGCAGGGGAGACUGGAAUUCCUGGUGUAGCGGUGGAAUGCGCAGAUAUCAGGAAGAACACCGAUGGCGAAGGCAGUUCUCUGGGCCGUAACUGACGCUGAGGAGCGAAAGCGUGGGGAGCGAACAGG
rnacentral:rRNA from 1 species